CAGUACUGUCCUCCUAUGUUUUUGGAUAGUCUCACCUCACCCUUAACAGCAAGCAGUACGUCUGUCACCACCACCAGCCCCCAUGAAAGCAGUACUCACGUUAGUUCAUCCAGCAGCAGGAGUGAGACAGGGGUCAUAACCAGCAGUGGGAGUAACAUUCCUGACGUCAUCUCUUUGGACUAAAGGCGGACAUACUUGAUUCUGGGAAUCAUUCAUCAAAACUCUUUCUUGGAUGUCUAGUCCAUGGAAGCUAAUUUUUGCAACUUAAUAUUUAUUGAAAUGUCAAAUGGAUCCUUUGCUUUCUGAGAGAUGAACAUGGAUGACUCCAGCAGGAACCAGAUGACAUGCCAGGAGGACUCUCCUCACGCUGUCCAUGAGCAUCGGAUACGGUGAGCAUUGGAUACGGUGAGCAUUGGAUACGGUUCAUCCAAGCGACUGUCUUUGGAGCGGUUGACUUCAGGUCCUACACUGUGGAUGGAGUCUACACACCAGGCAACCUUUUGUUACAAUAAACAGCAAUAAAGUUAUGUAAAUAGUUAAACUUUUCUAAUUAAAGAUGUAAUCACUGAUAUAGACUAACAGCAACUUCUGUUUAAUCCAGUAUGAAGGAAGGAUAGCUGGGAGAAGUCUUGUUUCCUGAGUGAAUACUUUCUAUGGAGAUCUGUUCUAUUUUGUUGAAGUAAUGAAGUUUGAAUAACUGGCCAGAAUUUGGGUUCUACUUUUCUUCUUCAGGUUUUCUGUUCUUCAUGAUCCCAUCAAAGCAAAUGAUCUUUGUGCUGUGCAUUUCCCUCUUGUCGUCCACGCUUUGAUGUUUGCUGAUGUGUGCCGAGUGAAAUGUGGAUUUGGUUGCCCUUUAUAAUGAUUAUGUUCAAGAAUACUGCCCAGAUUUUGUUCUGAUAUAAAGUGUUAUUUUGGGUUACUGUACAUUCUUGUAGAAUUUUCUACAGAUUUGAGACUUUUUUUUUCCGGAAAGUCAACCCUUUGAGUAAAAUGUGCUUGAGUUAAGAUGUGGCUAGAA
rnacentral:lncRNA from 1 species